CGGCUACCUUGUUACGACUUAACCCCAAUCACUGACCCCACCUUCGACGGCUCCUUCCUUGCGGUUAGGCCACCGGCUUCGGGUGUUGCCAACUUUCGUGGUUUGACGGGCGGUGUGUACAAGGCCCGGGAACGUAUUCACCCCGGCAGUGCUGAUCCGGGAUUACUAGCAACUCCAACUUCAUGCAGGCGAGUUGCAGCCUGCAAUCUGAACUGAGAGCGGUUUUAGGGAUUGGCUCCACCUCGCGGUUUAGCAGCCCUCUGUACCGCCCAUUGUAGCAUGUGUGCAGCCCUAGACGUAAGGGGCAUGAUGACUUGACGUCGUCCCCACCUUCCUCCGAGUUGACCCCGGCAGUCUUCUACGAGUCCCCACCAUUACGUGCUGGCAACAUAGAACAAGGGUUGCGCUCGUUGCGGGACUUAACCCAACAUCUCACGACACGAGCUGACGACAGCCAUGCACCACCUGUGCUGAGCCCCGAAGGACACCACAUCUCUGUGGCUUUUCCCAGCAUGUCAAAUCUAGGUAAGGUUUUUCGCGUUGCAUCGAAUUAAGCCACAUGCUCCGCUGCUUGUGCGGGCCCCCGUCAAUUUCUUUGAGUUUUAGUCUUGCGACCGUACUCCCCAGGCGGGGCACUUAAUGCGUUAGCUGCGGCGCGGAAACCGUUGAAAAGUCCCCACACCUAGUGCCCACCGUUUACGGCGUGGACUACCAGGGUAUCUAAUCCUGCUCGCUCCCCACGCUUUCGCU
rnacentral:rRNA from 1 species